GGGGAAGGCAACCCACCCAGCCUGCUGGCCCAGCAGCCCUGGGGAGCUGGGCGUACACAGGUUGCACAAGGCUCCCGGGGCCGAGGAGGAAUCCCCCUGGCUCUCCAUGGCUGGAAAAGCCCAUGGAGGUGUUGGGGCAAGAUAAAACCCGCACCCAGCAUCCGCCACCACCAGUAAUACCAGCUUACCGCGCCACGGCGGCGGCCGGGGGCUUGCACUGGAGCGUGCCUGGGGGGAUUGGAGGUGUCUGCUCGACGCAGCGCUGUGGGGAGAGCCCUGGGCAGAGCCUGCAUUUUGGUGCCAUGGUUUGCUGAGCACCAGCAAACUUGAUACUCUCAGGCUUCGUAAGUACUGACUCAGGCACGUCACCUCCGGGAGAGUCACCUCCUGCCCGUGGCUGGCCUGCGGACCCACCACCUCCUGGAGGUGCCUGUGGCGGGACCCUCGGGGGACUCUGACAGCGUUGCAGGUUCCGCAGCGGAACAGCCGUGAGCCUGCCCUGUGCUUCCACAGAGCUGUGUCCUGCCAGGCGGGCAGUGGCUGGGGUCAGCAUGUCUCUGGGGAAGGAAGUGGCUUCCCCCGGCCCUGCAUCUGAAUUCCCCCGUCAGAAUGCUCUUGAGCUGAGGCUGUUGUCUUCAGACCCUGUGCCACAUUGGGGCUUGUGACCCCAUCCUGCCUGCUGCCGCACCCCAGCCCGAGGUGAGCGGGCACUGCUGAGGCACGAAUGGCUCCCUGCAAACUAGCAGGUGAAUGAAAAUACCUGUGUAGUGCGAGCUCGCUAAUAGCCAAUUCUCAAUGCAUUUAACAGCUUGAAGCUAAUUAAAUUUAAGCUACUUAGAGAUGCCAGGUGACUGUGUUCCAAGGCCAUUGAUACAAUAUGAAACCUUCGCUUCCAAGUCCCAGCAACGAGAAUAUUGCUACAGGAUGAGGUGCCACCUAGCAACAGACCUUUAAUCACAAUUGCUGCUCCUCUCCGAGGAGGCGCAGUGAGUGCUGUCUUUUUGCUCUUAAAUCGGGGCUGAGGACUCUGCGGGUGCAUGGCUGCUCUGACCCUUCAAGCAAGCUGAAAGCGGUGUGGCCUCUUGUGACACAUGCAGCGCUCACAGCACUUUAUACAGUGAGAACCGGUUCAUUAUGAGAAGAAGCAUCACUGCGCAGACUUCUGUACAGCAGUACAGCUUUAGCCACAGCAGGGGCUUGGGCCAGUCUGACUUUUAAUUACAGAACAAGACAAAUCAGCCCUAAUGAAAUAGUUGUUCCUGACCUCUGGUGCUCAUGUUUGCUUAUAUGCAUCUUUCUGAGUUCGCAGGGAGGCUGUCACAGCUGUUACACGUGCACACACACACACACACCCCUUCACGCUGUGGCACCCUUUUAACUCCCAUGUUUCAUUCAGUUUAUCCCCACAAUUCACCUCCAACACAGGGAGGCACCUAUUGCUAUUUUAUAGAGGAGGGGAUGAAAGGGUGGAGCUCGAGGUUAAACUUACAAACUGGUUAAAAGUUUCCAUGUCUUAUAAAGAAAAAAUACUCUAAAGCUUUGAAAGUCAGUGGAUUUGCCCUGGAGUUUACACGGACCACAAGAAAGCUGGAAACCAAGCUGCGGUCACCUGUCCCAUGCUGCUGCCUUCCUCAUUAACUGAAAUCAGGAAAAAUUAAGAGAAAAGCUUCUUCCCUGUACAUUUGCAAACCCAGCUCUGCGAGGCUGCGUAAGCCUGAUGCAAUGUGUGGGGAAUCUCACAGGGCAUCAAAGGGCUGUUUGUGCACUCGAAGCUGAGCGAAGAGUCACGUGUUUGAGGGCACGUUAUCAUUCCUGGGCAGCGAUGAACAAAGACUUUGUUCCUUACGCACAAAUAACUCUGCCUGGAGUCAGUAAAUGACUCGCUAAAGGUAGACCCGGCAAAGAGCAAAGCUAAGAGGCUGGGAAUGCACAUAUAUUUCAAAAGUCGCAGCAUUGGCUGUGACACCAGGCCAGCCGUGGGAUGUAACCCCUGUGCUCCGCUGCAGACAAACCCCCUUCUGUCUGCAAUUGCAGGGAGAAGAGGGCAGCUGCAGCCAGCACUGGUGUCAGGGUGGUGGGGCUCGGGUUUAGGCUAGCAGCUCAUGUUUUGGAGCACGAGAUGACCCUUGCUAGCCCUAUCGCUCGGGAUUUUCUGUGCAGCUCAGUAUUUCUGUUACCCCAGCACAUUUAACAGGUUGUUUUCCCACUGUGUGUGGCCAAAGUGCCAACUUCUUUUCAGUGUCUCCCUAGCCAGCACCCACGCACAGCCCUAGCGCUGGGCUAUGCACCGACACUCUAGCUCCAGCCCUUUCUGAUUGUCCACAUUAAGACAAAAAAAGGUUUUGGGGGGGGACAAUUUCUUUGGGUGAUGUGGAUGGCAAAGGACGGAGGCAGGAAUGAUGCCAGUGUGAAUGCAGUGACUCAACGGCAGCUGAAGAUCUGGCCACUUGUGUCCGCAUGGGUGUUAUGUUUAUUUACCAUUUUGCUCAUGGUAGUUGAGCCAGGCACAACUGUCGGGUGUGCUUAGGGCAGAUGCAGAGGCUUGGCUGAGCCUGGAGCAAAACACAGCCAGGCUAACAAGUGGAUUUUCCCCAACGUCCGUGAAAACAGUGGGUUGGAGCUGCAGCCAUGUGGUAGUUGUGCCAAGAGAAGGAUUGUGCUGGCUGUGGUGAAAGAGGAAGGACUCAAGUUUCUCAGCGGUGCAAGAGCAGGGAGGUCACUGAAGGCAGAGGAAAAAGAAGCCAAAGUGCAAAAAAAGAGCGGAGAGGGAACCUGGAAUGAGGUAGCUGGCUUUUCCUGCAAUGCCGAGUUGCAUGUUAAGGCAAUGAUUGACGAGGAAGCCAGGUCAUCCUCCUGCAGACCAGCGUCAUGCUCACCCGACAGCGGCUGGAUGCUGCACUGUGGUUUGUCCCUAGUGCCAAAGCUCUUCCCCAGCUUCUCAGCGUGCUGGGAAGGUGCCAUUGCCGCAGCUCUGCUGCAACUUCCUUCCUCCUCGCAGCCGUGCAAGUUGAAAAGCAUCCUGCUCCUGCAAAGCCACCAUCAUGUUGUCGCUUCCCAGCUCAAGUCCAAGCUCAGUCACAGCCGGGACACAUGGCCCAUCUCCAUGGACAGUGCUGUGGUGGUUUCUCCUGCACCCACGGCACUGCCAGGCUGGGGAGGGGGGCUCAAGUCCGUGUUUCUCAUUCUCCUCGGUGAGCGGUGGCUACACCUCGGUGGAGUACUCCAUCAUGCUGGGGGAGAAAGGAGAGGGGCGUUGUGGAAGGGAACUGUCCGAAAUGGGAAGCAAUGGGGAGGUGUGGAAAAAUAUUCAGAGUGGGAGCAGGGCCUUUUGCCAGAAAUAAAUGGAGAAAGAAUGACA